UGCCUUUGUGUUGCCCAUUCAUGUGUUCCGGUGAUGACAUGGGUGUCAAAAGAGGCAUAAAUGAUGUGCUCUAGCAGCAUGUUGGAUUUGAGGAGCCCCUUCCUCUCUUCUUCCGCUGCUUGGAGGGACACCG